ensembl:lncRNA
UGUAAUGUUAUGGAAUGAAAUGUCCUUGUUUCAGACCAACAGCUUACAGAGAAGGCAUAUAGCUUUUUCGAUGUGAAAAGCUAGAAACGACCACUAGAGGAAAUCCUGGUAAAUAAAUAUAAAAUGUAUCAGAAUCAAAGGUUCUAUCCUAAUCUAAUGUGGGGUGGCAGGUAGCCUAGUGGUUUGAGCGUUGGGCAGGUAGCCUCGUGGUUUGAGCGUUGGGCAGGUAGCCUCGUGGUUAGAGCAAUGGACAGGUAGCCUCGUGGUUAGAGCAAUGGACAGGUAGCCUCGUGGUUAGAGCGAUGGACAGGUAGCCUCGUGGUUAGAGCGAUGGACAGGUAGCCUCGUGGUUAGAGCGAUGGACAGGUAGCCUAGUGGUUAGAGCGAUGGACAGGUAGCCUAGUGGUUAGAGCGAUGGGCAGGUAGCCUAGUGGUUAGAGCGAUGGGCAGGUAGCCUCGUGGUUAGAGCGAUGGGCAGGUAGCCUAGUGGUUAGAGCGUUGGGCAUGUAGCCUAGUGGUUAGAGCGUUGGGCCAGUAACCAAAAGCUGACAAGGUCAAAAAUCUGUCUUUCUGCUCCUGAACAAGGCAGUUAACCCACUGUUCCACGGUAGGCUGUUAUUGUAAAUAAGAAUUUGUUCUUAACUGACUUGCCUAGUUAAAUAAAAUAAAAGUUAAAUUUAAAGACUGCCAAGCCAUUUAACAUGACCAAGAAAACCACUAAGCUAUGUGUAUUUUGUACAAUGUCUGUUAGUAGUGAAAUGAAAUGUACGUGUGUUUAAAGAGAGUCACCAUUUUUUUGGACUGAUUCGGCCAAACUAGUCUACAUACAUCUACAGGUGUGAUAAUGUUAUAUUUGUCCAUCAACAAGGUUACUGAUCCAAACAGAUGUGCUAGAAGGUAAAGGGGUUCAGUGUAGUAGUGGUGGGGGUGGCCAUGAUGAUAUUGAGGGUUUAGGGGGUCAGUAUAGUUGUGGUGGGGGUAAAGGGGUUCAGUAUAGUCGUGGUGGGGGUGAUUGAGGGUUUAGGGGGUAAAGGGGAGUCAUGCUAUCUUGUCUGUAGUCUGCUCUAGUUUACACAGCUCGCUAGAUGUUAGUCUCUCUAGCCCCUGUGUGUCUCUGUAGGUGGAGUUGUCUCGCUAUCGUCCUUGGUUGAAGUCUUGCCAUGUGUUGUGACUGCUGCUCCUUCUCCCCCUGUGCACAUAGAUGGCUCCAGAAUGCUGUGUGUAGGCUGACAGGAUUACAUGCCUCUUUGAGCCUAUGCGAUUAUAGAAGAUAUAGUGAUGUUUUCUUCAUUGAAACAUCACAGUAUUCACAUUGCUUGACUUUUUCCCACGUUUUGGUUGUGUUAGACAAUUUAAAAUUGAUUUAAUAAAAAUAUAUAUAUGAAUUGUAAAUAAUGUCAAAGUAGAAAAUGUUUUUAGACAUUUUUACAAAUUUAAUUAAAAAUGAAACCCUGUAAUGUCUUGAGUCAAAUAUUCAACCCCUUUCUUAGGGCAAGUCCACAUAAGUUCAGGACAACAAAUGUGCUUAAAGUCAGAGUAAGUUGCAUGGACUCACUCUGUGUGCAAUAGUAGUGUUUAACCUGAUGUUUGAAUCACUACCUCACCCCGGUACCCCACACAUACCAUUUUCUGUAAGUGGGGGUCUAGCAGUGGAUUUAAAUUACAGAUUCAACCACAAAGACCAGGGAGGUUUUCCAAUGCCUCACAAAGAAGGACACCUAUUAGUAGAUGGGUAAAAACUUUUUUUUUUUAAAGCAGACAUUGAAUAUCCCUUGGAGCAGGGUAAAGUUAUUAAUUACACUUUGGAUGGUGUAUCAAUACACCCAGUCACUACAAAUAUACAGCUGUCCUUCCUAACUCAGUUGCCGGAGAAGAAGGAAACCGCUCAGGGAUUUCACCAUGAGGCCAAUGGUGGCUUUAAAAUCAAUUCAAAUUUAUUUAUAUAGCCCUUCGUACAUCAGCUGAUAUCUCAAAGUGCUGUACAGAAACCCAGCCUAAAACCCCAAACCGCAAGCAAUGCAGGUGUAGAAGCACGGUGGCUAGGAAAAACUCCAUAGAAAGGCCAAAACCUAGGAAGACACCUAGAGAGGAACCAGGCUAUGUGGGCUGGCCAUUCCUCUUCUGGCUGUGCCGGGUGGAGAUUAUAACAGAACAUGGCCAAGAUGUUCAAAUGUUCAUAAAUGACCAGCAUGGUCCAAUAAUAAUAAGGCAGAUCAGUUGAAACUGGAGCAGCAGCACGGCCAGGUGGACUGGGGACAGCAAGGAGUCAUGUCAGGUAGUCCUGAGGCAUGGUCCUAGGGCUCAGGUCCUCCGAGAGAGAGAGGGAAAGAAAGAGAGAAUUAGAGAGAGCACACUUAAAUUCACACAGGACACCGAAUAGGACAGGAGAAGUACUCCAGAUAUAACAAACUGACCCUAGCCCCCCGACACAUAAACUACUGCAGCAUAAAUACUGGAGGCUGAGACAGGAGGGGUCAGGAGACACUGUGGCCCCAUCCGAGGACACCCCCCGGUUACAGAGCUUAAUGGUUUUGAUAGGAAACUGAGGAUGGAUCAACAACAUUGUAGUUACUCCACAAUACAAACCUAAUUGAUAUAGUGAAAAGAAGGAAGCCUGUACAUGCAUCAUGUUUGCAACAAGGCACUAAAGUAGUCCUGCAAAAACAUUGGCAAAACAAACUUUUUGUCCUGAAUACAAAGUGUUAUGUUUAGGCCAAAUCCAAUACAACACAUUACUGAGUACCCCUCUCCAUAUUUUCAAGCAUCAUGUCAUGGGUAUGCUUGUAAUCAUUAAGGACUGGGGAGUUUUUCAGGAUAAAAAAAAAAAAAACGGCUGGAGCUAAGCACAGGCAAAAAUCCUAGAGGGAGGAAAACCUGAUUUCAGUCUGCUUUCCACCAGACACUGGGAGAUGAAGUCACCUUUCAGCAGGACAAUAACCUCAAACACAAGGCCAAAUCUACACUGCAGUUGCUUACCAACAUUGAAUGUUCCACAAAAUGUGGAAUAAGUCGGGGCCUAUCGAAUACUUUCUGAAGACACUGUAUCAAUAGCUACAUUAUUUGUCACAUGGAUGCGUAUUCAGGUGCUAAUAGAAUUGUGUAUCACACCCACCUACAACCACCAAGAUGGCUACAUCCUUACACUGGAUUCACAUGUACCAUUGCCUUUAUGUAUAUCACAUAUAUAAAUAUCAUAUGGACUCUCUUGUCACGAUAACACACACACGUACAGGAUCAAGAUGUGCCAUGAUUAAAUAACGC